ensembl:rRNA 5S_rRNA 5S ribosomal RNA
UGCCACAGCCAUAUAACCCUGCAGACCAAGACUGGUUGCCCACUGAAGCUAAGCAGGGUUGAGCCUGGUCAGUACCUGGAUGGGAGACCUCCUGGGAAAACUAGGUUGCUGCUGGAAA